rnacentral:rRNA from 1 species
AGAGUUUGAUCCUGGCUCAGAACGAACGCUGGCGGCGUGCUUAACACAUGCAAGUCGAACGUGAUCCAGAGCUUGCUCUGGUGAAAGUGGCGCACGGGUGAGUAACGCGUGGAUAACCUGCCCUGGUAUCUGGAAUAACAUCUCGAAAGGGGUGCUAAUACCGGAUAAGCCUACGGAGCCCUCGGUCUCUGCAGGAAAAGGUGGCCUCUAUUUAUAAGCUACCGUAUCAGGAUGGGUCCGCGUACCAUUAGCUAGUUGGUGGGGUAAUGGCCUACCAAGGCGACGAUGGUUAGCUGGUCAGAGAGGAUGAUCAGCCACACUGGAACUGAGACACGGUCCAGACUCCUACGGGAGGCAGCAGUGGGGAAUUUUGCGCAAUGGGGGAAACCCUGACGCAGCAACGCCGCGUGAGUGAUGAAGGCUUUCGGGUCGUAAAGCUCUGUCAGAGGGGAAGAAAUGAGAUUGGCUAAUAUCCAAUUUUCUUGACGGUACCCACAAAGGAAGCACCGGCUAACUCCGUGCCAGCAGCGCGGUAA